AGUGAACGCUGGCGGUAGGCCUAACACAUGCAAGUCGAACGGCAGCACAGUAAGAGCUUGCUCUUACGGGUGGCGAGUGGCGGACGGGUGAGGAAUACAUCGGAAUCUACUUUUUCGUGGGGGAUAACGUAGGGAAACUUACGCUAAUACCGCAUACGACCUACGGGUGAAAGCAGGGGAUCUUCGGGCCUUGCGCGAUUGAAUGAGCCGAUGUCGGAUUAGCUAGUUGGCGGGGUAAAGGCCCACCAAGGCGACGAUCCGUAGCUGGUCUGAGAGGAUGAUCAGCCACACUGGAACUGAGACACGGUCCAGACUCCUACGGGAGGCAGCAGUGGGGAAUAUUGGACAAUGGGCGCAAGCCUGAUCCAGCCAUACCGCGUGGGUGAAGAAGGCCUUCGGGUUGUAAAGCCCUUUUGUUGGGAAAGAAAAGCAGCAGGUUAAUACCCCGCUGUUCUGGCGGUACCCAAAGAAUAAGCACCGGCUAACUUCGUG
rnacentral:rRNA from 1 species